rnacentral:tRNA from 1 species
AGUUUUGUAUUCAAUCAUGAUUUUAAAUUGCAAAUUUAAAGGUAGCUUAAUAACUCAAAACUU